AGGUCCAUGAUUAGGACAACUCUUCAAGAUAGCUUUGAAACUCUCCCAAGCUUCAUGGAAAGAUUCAAGAUCAAAUUGGGAAAAAGUCAUGAUAUCAUUCCGGAUUU